GUAAAGACCUUUGCUCUGAAAGCGUUCCCACAUGUGAAGACGUGGGUGGGCAUGAAACAAAGCAAAUAGCACUACAAGCGAAUGACGCACUGGAAAUAAUGCUGGCCACCAGAGAGGAAGGAGAAGGCGACUUUCUGCACCACUGGCAAUACGCAAACAUUGGAAACAGUCCCGUCCAUCCCUAGGUUUGACAGAGAGCAGGGCCCAGAGGACGAGGUGGACUUGAUGUGAGCUUGGUGUGAUUUGUCCCUGGAAAUAUCCUCCCUACAACGAAGACAACAGAUGUCUUUCAGUUGGGGAACAAAUGGGACAUUUGCGAAAGCGGGUCCCAAAACAACAGUAUGUCAGCACUGCACUGUCUGUACAGCAUGGAUCCUGUAAACUCCCCAGAGCAUUACACAAUGUCAAAAGGGGAAACUGUUAAUUUUAGUGAGUAAGAUGAAUGUUGUUGCUGCAGCUCCACAGAGCCUUCAUAUAAUACAAUAAAAUACGUUCUGUGCUGUGA